rnacentral:rRNA from 1 species
ACGUAGGGUGCGAGCGUUAAUCGGAAUUACUGGGCGUAAAGCGUGCGCAGGCGGUUAUUUAAGAGAGAUGUGAAAUCCCCGGGCUUAACCUUGGAAAUGCGUUUGUGACUGUAUGACUAGAGUACGGCAGAGGAAGGUGGAAUUCCGCGUGUAGCAGUGAAAUGCGUAGAUAUGCGGAGGAACACCGAUGGCGAAGGCAGCCUCCUGGGCCAGUACUGACGCUCAUGCACGAAAGCGUGGGGAGCAAACAG